GCCUGGGUGGCUCAGUCAGUUGAGCGUCUGACUUUGGCUCAGGUCAUGAUCUCCCAGUCAGUGAGUUCGAGCCCCACAUUGGGCU
rnacentral:tRNA from 1 species